UAAGCGGAGGAAGAGAAACUAACAAGGGAUUCCUUAGUAACGGCGAGUGAACAGGGAAGAGCCCAGCACCGAAGCCUGUGGUCAUUUGAUCACCAGGCAAUGUGGUGUUCAGGUCGUUCCGCGGAGGCACUGCUCCACCUAAGUCCAAUAAUGAGAACGGUUUCUCGGACAUGGCCCAUGGAGGGUGAAAGGCCCGUGGGGGUGGAGAUCAGGUUGGCCAGUGCUGCUCUGGGGAGACCUUGGAGUCGGGUUGUUUGUGAAUGCAGCCCAAAGCGGGUGGUAGACUCCAUCCAAGGCUAAAUACAACACGAGUCCGAUAGCGAACAAGUACCGUGAGGGAAAGUUGAAAAGUACUCUGAAGAGAGAGUAAACAGUGCGUGAAGCCGUUCAGAGGUAAACAGAUAGAGUUGAACUGUGAGUUCCGAUGGUUCAGCUGGUGACUUUGGUUGAGCUUGGUCAAAAUGGUUGGGCUUUGAGGUCUGUGUAGCAACAGGUUCUUGCCUUCGGGUGAGAAUGCGCGAUGCACUCGUCGAGUGUUGUGCGCCUCAGAUGUCCCGAGCCGAGUCGCCAGUGCAUUCCGUCGGGACGGUCACCACGACCGGCACUAUCGUCUGUCUUUUGUGGUUAAACCGUGCGUGCUUCGUCCUUGUGGCUUUGUGCGUGCGGGAUGGCAGGUAGCUCAUUGGUUUGUUUACAAGCCUUUGGGUGAAAUAGCUGACUGCAAUUUGACUGUGCGUUGUGCCGGGGACGGCGGCUUGAGGUGUGUGCGUGUGUGCUAGUUUGCUGGCGUAUCCGUGUCAGGUUGCUCAGUUGCUCACCUAGUGGGCCAAGCGGC
rnacentral:rRNA from 1 species